rnacentral:rRNA from 1 species
UACGUAGGGGGCAAGCGUUGUCCGGAAUUAUUGGGCGUAAAGAGCACGUAGGCGGUAAUAUAAGUUGGAUGUGAAAGGCUACGGCUCAACCGUAGAGCUGCAUCCAAAACUGUAUCACUUGAGUGCAGAAGAGGAGAGUGGAAUUCCCGGUGUAGCGGUGGAAUGCGUAGAUAUCGGGAGGAACACCAGUGGCGAAGGCGACUCUCUGGUCUGUAACUGACGCUGAGGUGCGAAAGCGUGGGGAGCGAACAGG